rnacentral:lncRNA from 1 species
GCAUAUGUAGGAGUAUAAAAAUAAACACAUGUAGGGCAACAUUAUUUGUUAAAACACUUUGCGCUACCAUGGGAGGUAUACAAUUGACAAAACCUGCGGAAAUAGGACGUUAAUACGAUGCGUUACCCGCACUAUCGGCUAAAUAUGAAUGUCUGAAUUCCUAACAAGAAUGUAAUAUUUCUGCACACAUCCAUCGAUUUCAUACCAUGCACGGGCCUUUUCCUCACUGCAAACAUGCAUACAAGUGUCCGCAAAGCAUACGGGCCAAAUAAAUUAUGAACAACACGGUUCAGAUCCGGGCCAAAGAUAAUAUGAACACCACCGGCAAAUCUGAGACAAGUGUUGAUUAUGAUAUCAGCAGCGAAGAAACUAACAAUUAAAAAAGAGUUCGAUUGAAAUUUCAUAAAGUUUUUUGUGAAUUGUCACCUGAAUUCACCAACAGUUUAUGUAAUUGCCGAAGUAUAUGUGGUUCUGGUGCCUGAAUAUUUAGCGUCGAUGUUAGAACGUAUUUUUGACACAGGUUGUAAUUCUCUGCAUUCAAAAUACAAAAAAAAAAAAAUUUCCAUUUGGCAAUACAUAAAUCAAUAUACACUUCAUUUACAAUUGGUUUUGUGAAUAAAAUCACAAAAAUAAGUUGUCUCUUCAUUAUGCCAUUACUACAACAAAUUAAUAAAUAUUUACUUCUAAUCCAAAUACGUAAUAUUUACAGCAUCCCGUAUAAACAACGAUAUGAAGGUAGAUGUACAUUAAGUUGGUACACUGCUGUUUUCAUUUAUAGCGUCUGAUUUUAUGGCCAUGUACCUCCCAUUUUUUAGCAUCCAUCGAAUAAUGACUGCAAGCCUCAUGAGGAGGUUAAUUCCACCAAUAAUUAAAGAAAAAAGUUGCUUUAAACAAUGUAGAAUAUAAAAAUUAUGACUGUGACUGUGAAUGUGACACUGAUGUCUUUCAACUCCAAGCCAUAAACUUUUUCACCGGAACUUGAAUAGUAAACACAUAUAUAAACAAUAAUAGAUUAAAUAUUCACUAGUCUUCUCUGCAACAAACCACAAGAGUAAAUGAAUUGAAUAAAUGGAAAAUGUUGCAGAGUACUCAAUUUCUUUUCACUUGGCCACAAAAUUUAUUUCAUUUCUGGUCCAUUAACAUAUUGUUUUGGGCACACAAAAUAAAACCAGAUAUUUCUCUUAUCCAGAUUCAAUAACCAUUAUCAGAUUUUUUUUCUGAUUCAGGUUAAAGUGCAAAAAUAAAGGUAAACCCAAAAUGAUGUUUAAUUUGGUUAAUAGUAUAUAAAAAUGCUUUGGAGUUAACAAGAACAAAAAAAUGCAAAGAGUAUAUAUAAGUACACUACCGACUAAAAAGGAUCCCUGAAGGAUUAUUAAUUAAUGAAACUAAUAACUGGGAUCCAACAUUAAUUCAAGUAUAGCUUACCAGAAGCAAGAGGAAAUCAACAAGAAUAAUCAUUCUCAUACUGUUAGUUAUAGCAGGACAGAAACCUCCCCG